AGUCCCCAUUCAACCUGACAGAGCUUGAGAGGAUCUUCAGAGAAGAAUGGGAGAAACUCCCUAAAUACAGGUGUGCCAAGCUUGUAGCGUCAUACCCAAGAAGACUCAAGUCUGUAAUUGUUGCAAAAGGCAUGUUCAAGGGAGAGAAGGAAGACACUGGCGACGGAAGAGAGACAGAUCGUUGAAGAAGAGAGAGAGGGAGAGACGGUGUUGAGUCGAACGUCCAGAAAACAGGAGAAUAAAACCAGCUGAGGAUCUACCUACCUGAACAAGGUGCUUCAUAUUGAAAAGGCACCUGUCAUCUUUGACCAUGUCUAAGGACCAGUGUGAAUCCGUAGCAGUGAGCAUCGAGUCCCUUUUAACCGACGCAGUUAAGAUGCAGUCCCAGUGCCGGGAGCGUAGUGAGCAGCUAGCCGUGGCCGCCGUCGCACUGAGGGAGGAGUCGGCGUGCUUGAGAGAACAGUGUCAAGCCACCCAGCUGGAUAUGGCCCGAAUGAGAAGACAGUUAGAAGAACUGCUGGAUACCAAGGCUCAGAUGGAGGCCAGUGAUAGAAUGCACCGCAAACUCAGCAAGACACUCUAAAUGGAAGAGAAGGAAGAGGGGAGAGGGAGGAAAAGGGGGAUAGAGGAGAGAGAGAGAUAAGGACUGAGGAGAGAAAGAAAGGAGAAGGAGAGAAAGAGAGAGGAGAAAGAGAAGAACAGCUGGAUACCAAGGCUGCGAUGGAGUCCCGGGGUGAACACACACUUGGAAAUAAGUCUGGCAGACUUUACAGUUAAAUAAAUAAUUAUUUUAACAACGUACACCGUCUCCUGUUCUCUAACCCUAUUUAUCAUCCCUAACCAUCACGCUACACUACAUGACCAAAAGUAUGUGGACACCUGCUCGUCGAACAUCUGAUUCCAAAAUCAUAGGCAUUAAUAUGUAGUUGGUCCCCCCCUUGCACUGAUGUUGGGCGUUUAGGCCUGGCUCGCAGUCGGCGUUCCAAUUCAUCCCAAAGCUGUUUGAUGGGGUUGUGGUCAGGGCUCUGUGCAGGCCAGUCAAGUUCUUUCACAACAAUCGACAAACCAUUUCUGUAUGGACCUCGCUUUGUGCACCGGGGCAUUGUCAAGCUAAAACAGGAGAGAGCCUUCCCCAAACUGUUGCCAUAAAGUUGGAAGUACAUAAUUUUCUAGAAUGUCACUGUAUGCUGUAGCAUGAAGAUUUCCCUUCACUGGAACUAAGGGCUCUAGCCUGAACCAUGAAAAACAGCCCCAGACCACUAUUCCUCCUCCACCAAACUUUACAGUUGGCACUAUGCAUUGGGACAUGUAGUGUUCUCCUGGCAUCCGCAAAAAAAAUAAGAAUUCAUCAGUCAGACUGCCAGAUGGUGACGCCUGAUUCAUCACUCUAGAGAACGCGUUUCCACUGCUCCAGAGUCCAAUGACGGCGAGCUUUACACCACUCCGGCUGAUGCUUGGCAUUGAGUAUGUUGAUCUUAGGCUUGUGUGCGGCUGCUCGGCCACGGAAACCCAUUUCAUGAAGCUCCCGACGAACAGUUCUCCUACUGACGUUGCUUCCAGAGGAGGUUUAGAACCGGGUAGCGGGCGUUGCUACCAGAGGAGGUUUAGAACC
rnacentral:lncRNA from 1 species